rnacentral:rRNA from 1 species
UGGUUGACCUCGAAUCAGGUAGGACUACC